CACCCCACAGACGAGAGGAUCCCCCAGCAGCAAGAGAGGAGGGGACUGGGGUUGAUUUUCACAGAAUGACCAGGUUGGAACGCUGAGGGAAGGUCCUGCUGGGAUUCUCCUUAUUGGCCAAACAAAAGAAGCAAUGGAAUUACCAGAAUGUGCUCUUGAACAGCAGUUAAAUUAAUUAAUUCCAGGUACAGGAACCCCAGGAUCACCCCUCAGAGGGGAGGAUGCCCUGGCAGUGCCCCUUCUCCAGCCAUGGGUGCCCUUCCUGCCCCUCCCUGGCAGAAGCCACCCACACCGAGCAGAUCCCACACCGAGCAGAUCCACCAGGCUCUGCUACCACCACAGCAUCCCAGAGUGAACAAAGAAAAGCCGGGUUUAGCCCAGCUGAGCUGAACUUUAGCGCUGAGCCCGGUGCCACAUCGCCAUGGCAACAGCAAGGCCGCGCUGGGCAGGGCCUGACUGCUCUCCAGCCUCCAUCCCGGGUGCUUAAACCAUCAUUUUCCAUGGAAUCACGGCAUCACUGAGAACGAGCACGGCCCUUCUCCAGGAGAGGCUGGAGCAGCUGUGCAGAUGGCAGACAUCUGCCAGAGAAAUGCAUCAUCUUACAUCAUCUGGCACCGCUCCUGCCAGCUCAGAGCCGCUGAUUUGUCGCCCAACAAUUCCUCAUCAGAGACGAAACUCGGGUGAGGAGAGCUAAAGGCACACUAAAGGUGCUCUCCUCAUCCCAUCUGGGUGGCUGCAGUGGCAUUCAUGGCAACCUGGGACCUCCUAACCCUGGUGUGAAGAUGAAAGCCACCACAUCUGUUAUUGGUGGGUGCUUUGCAUGAAGAACCUGCCUGUGGAGCAGCAUCUUGUGUUUAGGAAAUCACCGAAUAUCACUUUAAUUCAGAGGAGCACGAGAGCAGCAGUAAAAACUGCCUAAAAAGCAAGGAUAGGUCCAUGAGCUCUGAAAAUCAUGGUCAGGACUGCAGGGGCAGCAGCUGCCCUGGGGUCUGGGGGUGAUGCUCACGAGUGAAUUCGGGCCCUCACACCGGUGAUGGCAAAGAUUAAAUUCCCAAAGUGGUGCCCAAAGGUUUCGUGGCUGGAUUUUAGCAUCCAGAUGUGCCUGAGAAGCUGCCUCAAGACAACCUGGAUGCUAUAAAUCCCAGAGCCUCCAUCCAGGCUUUGGUAACAAAGCAGAGGAUGUAUCAAUUCCAGAAAAAAAAAUUAUUUUUGCCUCAACAGCAAGAAUUUUCCAGGAUCUUUUUCUUUCUCACUGCAUUUCAGCACCAUCUUAAGACCAUUAUGUAAAAAUAGAAACACUCCUUUACUCAUAUUUUUAUCCUCUCCUCAAUAUUUUUAGAGAAAUGUGAGGCUGACAUAACACAGAGUCAGAGAGUGAGAUUCUGUUACAAGUUUUAUUCUUCUGUGCCUAAAACCCAGUCACAACCAAAGAAUGUUGGGGAAACAUUCAGCUCUGCUCUGGGCUGAUUUCAAAACGGAAUUAUUCCUUCUUCUCUUGGAAUGACUGCCUACCUGCCUGCCUUGUGGGCAAUCAGCAUAAUCCUGUUUCGUUGCCUCUCAGCAAGAGGAAAAAUUAAAGCACAGUUCUGCUCCAGUGGAUUCAUCUUCUGCAGCUUUGAGUGGCAAGGAGCUCCCUGUGAUCCUUCUGUUCCAAUUUUUGGGGAUGUCAGCUUGCAGGGGAGAAGAGCUGCCUUAAUUGAUGGAAUAUUCUCUCCAAGACUAUUGUUUACCACCGAGGAAUACUCCUGCUCUGCAAGGACUUGUGGAUUUUUGUGGAGAAGAUGGCUGGGAUUUCGUGGAAACGCCUCGGUUUAUAAAAUUGUGUCAAUAGCAGCCUGUGCACCGCCACAAUUUCAUUUUCUGGGUGCUCUAAAGGUCAUUUUCACAAGGGGACAGGGACACCUCCCACUGUGCCUGGCCUUGGACACUCCCAGGAAUUCCUCCCCAAAAUUCCAUCUCCACAUCCCCUCCCCAGGCCUGAAACCAUCGCCCUUGUCCUGUCACCAUCUGCCCAUGCAAAUAAAAAUAAAGAUGCGAAAUCC